rnacentral:misc_RNA from 1 species
UUUCCGUAGGUGAACCUGCGGAAGGAUCAUUAUUGAAUCAACUUGGUUAGGUUGUUGCUGGCUCUUAGGAGCAUGUGCACGCCGACUCCAUCUUUAACCACCUGUGCACCUUGCGUAGAUCUGAGGAUUUCGAGAACACUCGGUUUGAGAAUUGCUGUGCGUAAGCCAGCUCUUCUUGUAUUCAGGUCUAUGUUUUCACAUACCCCAUAUGAAUGUAUACGAAUGUUGCAAUUGGCCUUGUGCCUUUAAAACAAAUACAACUUUCAACAACGGAUCUCUUGGCUCUC